AACAUGCCCGGGCAGCUGUAGGGCUAAGGCACAGCAAAGUGUAAUGUACAUCCUAUAUGGAAAAAGGCUGUUAAUGGCCAUGCUGCUUUAGAACGCAAUGACAAUGCAUCAUUUCAUAGUCUUGCAAGGCCUUUUAAUGUGGCUGGCUGUUUUCAACAGUACAUCAUUCUCUCCUUGUUCCGUGCUGUGGAGGUUUGUGCUAAUCAGAUAACUGAUGCUCGGUUUACUUGCUAGAAAUGGCAUCAGCUGGCUUGGACUGGUGGGGUAGGAUUGCACUGAGACAGAAGACAUGGCUAUGUUCUCUGUUUAAGGCUGGUGAUGCAAGGACUAGAUAUCGCUGAUGGUGUUUGGGGUUUUGUGUUUUGGAGGUUUUUUGUUUUUUUUUUUUAAAUCUACACUUCCUUAACUACUCAAAAUCAUGCCAGGUAUGUAUUCAUAACAGGAAGCUAACAAACUGUGCCGUCAUCUUGAAAAUGAGCAAUGCAGAUGGUAUAAAACUAGUCUUGGAACUUUUUCCAGGAGGGAAGGAGGAAAUACAUUGGAUCAUCUGUUCCCAGUCCUCCAGUCCUGUGGGCUGAAAGUGGCUGGGUGGCUGUCAGAGUGCCCACUGCAGGAAGAAAACCAGGCAAUGGGAAGAACCUUCACCUGCUGUGUCUCCUUCCUCCUGCCUGGAAGAGGAGCUGAGCAGCGCCAGGAGAGGUGCAGAACUUUGAAGAUAUGAAGAAUCUGCCUAGAUGUCAUUUUGCUCUUGGUGGCUACAUUUGUAAUACUGCUUUCCCCUUAACGGACCUUCCUGAAACAGGCUCCACGGUGUAUACUACAAAAAGGAAAUCUGGACUGCACUGACACAGCUUUUCAUCAGUGAGGUAGGACUGCAGCCUUAAAAACUUUCAGUUCACUACAACACGUUGAAAAAUGCUCAGUUCGUAGGAUGCAAACUGAAAAGAAAA